UGUAGAGACAACCCAAAUUUAACAAAUAUAGUGCCUAAUUAAGCUUGUACACUCUGCAACCAGAUAUUCUUGAGAGGAUAAAAGCUUGAAAAGAUGAGUUAGCGAAGAGAAGCUGGAAAAGAUGGGUAGUUUUAAAACUUCCUUGUGAACUGAACAAGAUAUGCCAGUCCCUCUACAACCAACUACUAAUAGGAUAAACAAGAUGUAUGAUGAUAAGAUCAAGAGUCAUGACCCAAUCCACAAAGUAAAAACAAAUUAAGCCAUAAGUUGAUGCUUGGGAACUGGGUUCAACUAGCGAGACAGUAACCUACAUCCUAAAUCAAUUCACGCCCAAACCAAUAUGCAGAAUUUACAAUGUCAAGACAAAGGAAGUGGAAGACAGCACCAGAAAGCUCAAUCUCAAAAUAGGUUGAGCCAAUAUCAUUUAUAUUCAUAUUGAAUCAUAUGUUCAUAUGAAGGAUGACAAAAGUCUGAAUCCAGUAAUUGCUGGCUCCAGUUAGCAAAAGUUUGGAUUUUUGAAUCAUCACUUGACAAAGAACCUCUCUGAAACCUACCAUCAACAGUAUCCAUCCCACAAACCUAACUGAUCAGCUAAAAGGGAAGACAAUAAACAAUGCCAAAGGAAGAAGACUCAAAACCUAAAACACAUACUUAAAUCACACUAUUCUAACGAUGUCUGCCAAUAUCCCUCCUGUAAAUUACAAAAUCGCAAGUCAAUUCUUCCAAAAUUAUAUAGAUCUCCCAUGAUUCUCAUGCUUGGUCAUUAAAAAUACAUGGCAUUAGUAAAGCUAACAGUUUUGCCAAUUUUUUAACAAGCAUUAAGCCCAAUUAAGCUAAGAAAUAUGGCAACUCUUCUUCUUGAAAAAAUUUUACCCCUAAAAUAGACACGACUAUCCUAGAUAAGUCUAAAGCAAAGGUUUUGAAUAUGAUUCUUAUAAAUUUUCCUCUGGUGUUCUAGAUUAAUCAAAAAACAUUGCUAGAACUAUCCUUACUGCCAAAUCUACCUCUACUAUAUACAUUAACUAGUCCCCAAGUUUUGUAGAAAAGAGCAUCUAGCAGGCUCAAAUGUACAAACUCACCAAUCUGGAGUGAGACAAUAAACCUAAGGAAAGAAAGAAUAGUUAUGAAUAUAAAACUUAGUUUCGCUAACCAAAAAUUGCACUUUUGAAUGAUUAAAAUAUGUUUUUAAGGGUAAGCUUUGGCGCAACAGUAAGGUUACACCAUUUCACCAAGAAGUUACAUGAUCAAUUGCUAGAAACAGUCUCUGAACUCUCAGCAGAAAAAGCAGGGGGAAGGUUAUGAGGAGCCUUGUGCACUCAAGAUGCCUUUAACGUGUCUAGAUUCAAUAUUAAUUCUUCAUACAGCUUGUUUAUACCUGUAGAAUCUGCUCAAACAGGCCUUCCCUUGUUAGCUGUUCAGCUCCACAAGUAGAGCUCACCUAUGUUCACUUUCACAUAGUUAGCAACGUGGUGACAGAACCAUUGUUGAAUGGCAUGAUAUUUGAUCAGAAUCUGCACUCUGUUGCACCAAUGGCCACAGCACCAAUAUCGUUCUACCAUUACUGAAAACUGACAAGCGAUGACCUUGUGCUAAAUAGUUGUUAAUAUGUAUAUCUAGAUUCAAUUUGAUAACCCUGUCUUUAAACUUCAAUAUUAUAUUCACACUGGCAUGCUUAGCUCUGUAAAUAGAGUUCAUCUUUUUCACAUUUCUGCACAGUUUAAAAAUUCUCUCAAAGGAUACUUCAUUACUUUAUGAGAUUGAAAGCCUAUAACAAGUUGGAAGAUAAAUAUGCAAAUUCAGACCUUGGACUAUAAGGCCAUAAGGGUUUCUAAACUCUACACCAAGAAUUUGAAUUUCUUAAAUCAAACUAUAGUAAAGAAAAAUGUCCAUUGCAAAAGAAAGUUAGUUCCUCUAAAAUGCUUGCUAAUCCAGAGCAUUCAAAAUAAAAUUUUCACCUUCCAAAAUAAAUAAAUUAAACCAACCCACUUAAUCAGAGUACCGAUUACAGUCAAAUUAAAAUUAUUAGAGGUCACAUGAGUGCUAAUCUCUUUUAAAAAAAAGAAAGUUAUUGCUCAUCACUGACCACAUCUACAAGAACUGUUUUAGAUUAAAUUAAUCAGUGUGAGAGCCGCAAUACUAAUUAAAUAAAAAGAUUAACCAAUUCAAAAUUUCAAGCUUUACUCUAUACAUACAUAAUCAUGGAAGAAGUAAAAAAGAAGGAAAUUUCAAGGGUGGUGAGAGGAAAUCACUUACAGUAGAAGACUGUUGACCGGAUCUAAUGUGAAGCGAGGCUUGGGCGGUUCCACUUUCGUUCUGGCAGUGCUGUACGUCAAGUGGAAGAGUACAAGGGAGAAGCUGCAAACCAAGGCGAUUCUCUACCGUCGACAAGAGAUUAACCAUCAGAGCCCGGUGAGGGACGGAGACGAAAGGGAACUCCAGGAAUUUUGCACGUCCCUGGUUGUGGAGGUCCAUCUCGGAUGAUGGUUGUGAGGGAGAGGAAGCGGCAGAGAGUUUGAUUCUCGAUGAUUUGAAUGGAGGUGAAAAGAGAGAAGUUUUAGGAGGAGAAGGAAAGCGUAGAAUGUGGCAGAAACUCACGGCCAUUAAUUUGGAAGCUUUUGCCUCAAGACAAGAUCACUCUCUCUGAUAUUUACAUGGCUGCUAGUGCUUUCUCU
rnacentral:misc_RNA from 1 species